CGCUCGCAGUUACACCCGGUCCAGGCGCGGGCGGGAGUCAGCAGUGGGGAAGAGUGCACAAUGGGCGCAAGCCUGAUGCAGCCAUGCCGCCUCCUGAAGAAGGCCCCCCAAAAUCUAAACCCGUUUGAGUGAGCCAGGAAAGGUUAGUAGUUAAUACCUGCUAGCUGUGACGUUACUGACAGAAGAAGCACCGGCUAACUCCGUGCCAGCAGCCGCGGUAAUACGGAGGGUGCGAGCGUUAAUCGGAAUUACUGGGCGUAAAGCGUACGCAGGCGGUUUGUUAAGCGAGAUGUGAAAG
rnacentral:rRNA from 1 species